rnacentral:rRNA from 1 species
UACGUUGUCUGCUAUACGCAGGAAGACCCGCUGA